rnacentral:rRNA from 1 species
UACGAAGGGGGCUAGCGUUGUUCGGAAUUACUGGGCGUAAAGCGCGCGCAGGCGGUCUUCCAAGUCAGUGGUGAAAGCCCGGAGCUCAACUCCGGAACUGCCAUUGAAACUGUUAGACUUGAGGAUGAGAGAGGUGAGUGGAAUUCCCAGUGUAGAGGUGAAAUUCGUAGAUAUUCGCAAGAACACCAGUGGCGAAGGCGGCUUACUGGUCCGGUUCUGACGCUGAGGCGCGAAAGCGUGGGGAGCAAACAGG